CUUUUGCGCCGGGGCUGCUCCUGGGAUGGGGGCUUGGGGCUCAAUCCCGGGGGAUUGGGGCCAUGUCCUGCUCGGGACUGGGUCUGGAUGCUGCUCCAGCAGGGCUGGAAAUGUCCCGGCAGUGACACGGAGCCGCGUCUGGGUCAAGGCCAGUGGGAUUCCCUGGAGCCAGCGGGAUCCCCAGUGUUGGUGGGAUUCCCAGUGCUGGUGGGAUCCCUGGUGCCAGGGCGAUUCCCCACACUGGCAGGCUCCCCAGAGCCAGCAGAAUUCCCAGUGCUGGUGGGAUCCCUAGUGCCAGGGAGCUCCCCGGAGCCAGCAGGAUCCCAUGUUGGUGGGAUUCCCAAUGCUGGCAGGCUCCCCAGAGCCAGUGGGAUUCCCAGUGCUGGUGGAUCCCUAGUGCCAGGGGGCUCCCCGGAGCCAGCGGGAUCCCCGGUGUUGGUGGGAUUCCUAGUGCUGGUGGGAUCCCUGGUGCCAGGGGGAUUCCCCAUGCUGGCAGACUCCCCAGAGCCAGUGGGAUUCCCAGUGCUGGUGGAUCCCUAGUGCCAGGGGGCUCCCCGGAGCCAGCGGGAUCCCCGGUGUUGGUGGGAUUCCCAGUGCUGGUGGGAUCCCUGGUGCCAGGGGGAUCCCCCGUGCUGGCAGGUUCCCCGGCAGGAUCCCCAGUGCCGGCGGGCUCCCGCACUGAGCAUGCGCGCCGGGGCCGCUGCCAAACCCCGCUUCCUUCCUGGCAGCCCCGGCGCCAUUUGCCUGCCAGUGCUGCCAGGAGAGCGAGGCCGGAGCUGGGCCGGAGCCGGGCCACAGCCGGGAGGCACGGGAUGCCCUGAGCCAGCCCCGCUCCCGUUCCCGCUCCCAUCCUGGCAUCUCCUCCUGCCCCGCGGUGAUGUCCUGGCACGGCCACAUGGCCCUGCCCCUCGUCGCGAUGCUCCUGGCCUUGAUCGGCCGCGCGGUGCCGGGAGCCACCAACAGCUCCUUCGCGGUGGCGGUGGAGGGGCCGGCGGCGGUGCCCUACGGCGAGGACGCCCUGGUCAACUGCUCCACCACGUGCCCGGCGGCGGAGGCGGCCGGCGGCCUGGAGACCUCGCUGGCCAAGGAGCUCCUGCACCGGGGCCCCGGCUGGCUGGCGGUGCAGCUCCGCAACGUCACCGAGCCCCGCGCCCGGCUCCUCUGCUACUUCACCUGCUUCGGCCAGAGGAAGACGGCCGCCCUCACCCUGGAGGCGUACCGCUUCCCGGACCCGCUCCUGGCCAUCAGCACGCUGAAUGCCUCCCUGCACGAGCCGGUGGCCGUCGAAUGCUCUGCGGUGCCCAGCCAGCCCCCGGGGCUGCAGCUGUGGCUCCGCAGCAACCGCUGGGCCCAGGCGUCCGGGACGGAGGGCCACGUCCGCCUGGAGCUGACGGCCCGCGAGGAAGACGACGGGCUGGAGUUCAUCUGCGAAGCCGAGCUGCUCGUGGGCAACCAGACGCUGCGGAAGAGCUCGGCCCCGGCCACGCUCAGCG
rnacentral:lncRNA from 1 species